rnacentral:misc_RNA from 1 species
AGCAAAGUGUACGGAAUAUUCUAAAAAACCGUUUAUACCCUUCUUACGUAAAUACAGUGCCAACAAGAAUCAAGAUACCUCAAUGCAACAACCGUUAUACACAGAUUCUACGAGAUUCUAUUCUUGGGACGAAUUGAACAAUGAAGAACUAUACACAAUCCCUCGUUACAAUUGGAGUUCAUUAUGACAAAAGUUGAACUGCCGCUAUGGCUGGUAUCUUCUCUCGCAAUUUCUGUGUAACAGCCACCCGAACCGUCAUGACCCCAGCGGCUGGCCCCGUAAUCCGAACUUUAACUAUUGGCUCCUCAAUACCCACAAGUUCAAGAGAUCCUCCGGCCGCCCCAACAAGGUAAGGUCUUAUCUCUUCAAGUACCUUCUCUAUAUUGUCCUCGUUGAGCUCCAAUCCAGUUUCUUCAUCUGCUAUUGGCUCCACAGCAACAAUUUCAGGAAUCUUCUCCAUCAAACGGCGUUCAAUUCCCAUCUUCAUGGUCGUAACAGAACUCGGACAUGAGCCGCAAGCUCCUUGUAGCUUCAACCGUACAACAUUUCCGUCAAUUUCAUGUAAUGCCACAUUUCCACCAUCCGCAAUAAGAU